ensembl:miRNA
AGAGGAGCUGGACAAGUACUGGUCCCAGCAGAUUGAGGAGAGCACCACAGUGGUCACCACGCAGUCCGCUGAGGUUGGAGCUGUCGAGAUGA